GCGUCCGUGGCGUAAUUGGAUAGCGCAUCGGUCUACGGAACCGAGGGUUGGGGGUUCGAAUCCCUCCGGACGUA
rnacentral:tRNA from 1 species